GCCCACCAUGCUAUACAGUAAACAGUAGAAGCUAAUCCACUGGCUCAGAAACUACGUGUGGUUUUCAUACGUAUUAUUCGUAGAACCGUGUUGAUGUGUUUUCAAAAAAACGCAGUAUCUAGAUUUUAACAAUAACUAAUUUUUGAUACUAUAUGACUUUAAAUAGUGUUCUUGUCGAAUUUAAUGUUGAUGUUUAAUAUUCAAUUUCAUACUUGGGAAAAAAAGUAUCUUAUUAUAAAUAGGACGACGCGUUGUUUUGUUUUAAGGUUUUUAAUAUAAGUUUAUUUUAGAACAACAAAUAAAUACGCUAUUUUGUGAGAAGCUACAAGGUUGUGUUCAAAAUGAUGGGGUGUUUAAGGACUUGUUGGCUGGCAGUUGGUGUGUUAGUUGUGGUCAUACACGCAGACGUUCUGGCGAAAAACAUAGCAGAGGAAGGAGAGAUUGUCAACAUGGAAAUCAAACCUGAAACACAAGGCGAAAAUGUAGUACCGAAUAGUGAGGCGCCACCAGCUGAUGUCCCCAGCCCAGGGGGAGGCUAACCCCGACCCAGGGAGCGAGGCCCCCCGCAAGACAGACGAGCUGGACUGGGGCCACACCGACGGGGCUGACGGCUUUACGGAAGGGGCUCAAGAGGCACAAACCUCCCCAAGGGUCAGAUCAGGAGCACAAACCGUUAACCGGUCAGGCUGUGGGCGUGGUUGACCCGGAAGAAGUAAUGCACGGAGAUGGCGACGGAGGUCACGAUCACAAAGACGUGCACAAGGCUCCUGCCCAAAG